rnacentral:rRNA from 1 species
UGCAAGUCAAACGGUCGACUUUUUGCCCGCAAGGGUAGAGAGAAGGCAGUGGCAGACGGGUGCGUAACGCGUAGGUGACCUACCCUGAAGAGGGGGAUAACUCCGCGAAAGCGGGGCUAAUACCGCAUAAGCUCACGACUUCAGUGUCGGGAGAAAAGGUGCCUGGGGUAACUCAGGUGCCACUUCUGGAUGGGCCUGCGUCCUAUCAGCUUGUUGGCGGGGUAACGGCCCACCAAGGCGGUGAUGGGUAGCUGGUCUKAUGAGAGGACSAGCCGCMCYGCUGCWGCUACGMGGUCCGCCGGACUCCUGSGGGCRGCAGYAGUGAGGMUUCUUCCACRRGCGGCGRAAGSCUGGAGCAGCGCCGCCGCGUGAGGGAAGGAGGCCUUCGUGUUGUCAACYUUCUUCGUAUGAGAMGAGRCUGCUCCGGAGAAUMGCCGGAGUCCAUGACUGUACCAGAGGAAGCAGACACGGCUAACUCUGUGCCAGCAGCCGCGGUAAGACAGAGGUGUCAAGCGUUGCUCGGAAUUACUGGGCGUAAAGCGCGUUUAGGCGGCUUUGUAAGCCAGGUGUGAAAUCUCUGGGCCUAACCCAGAAACUGCGCUUGGGACUGCGAGGCUAGAGAUGGGGAGAGGAAAAUGGAAUUUCCGGUGUAGCGGUGAAAUGCGUAGAUAUCGGAAGGAACACCUGUGGCGAAGGCGAUUUUCUGGUCCCAUUCUGACGCUGUCACGCGAAAGCUAGGGGAGCAAACGGGAUUAGAUACCCCGGUAGUCCUAGCCGUAAACGAUGCGAACUAGGUGUGGGAGGGUCAUCCCCUUCUGUGCCGCAGCUCACGCAGAAGUUCGCCGCCUGGGGAGUACGGCCGCAAGG